UACGGGGGGGGUAAGCGUUGUUCGGAAUUACUGGGCGUAAAGGGCGCGUAGGCGGCCUUCUAAGUCAGACGUGAAAUCCCCAGGCUUAACUUGGGAACUGCGUCUGAUACUGGGAGGCUUGAGUGCGGGAGAGGGAUGUGGAAUUCCAGGUGUAGCGGUGAAAUGCGUAGAUAUCUGGAGGAACACCGGUGGCGAAGGCGGCAUCCUGGACCGGCAUUGACGCUGAGGCGCGAAAGCUAGGGGAGCAAACGGG
rnacentral:rRNA from 1 species